AGGACGAACGCUGGCGGCGUGCUUAACACAUGCAAGUCGAGCGGAAAGGCCACUUCGGUGGUACUCGAGCGGCGAACGGGUGAGUAACACGUGAGUAAUCUGCCCCUGGCUUUGGGAUAGCCACCGGAAACGGUGAUUAAUACCGGAUAUGACAUGGACUCGCAUGGUUGUGUGGAAAGUUUUUCGGCCAGGGAUGUGCUCGCGGCCUAUCAGCUUGAUGGUGAGGUAAUGGCUCACCAUGGCUUCGACGGGUAGCCGGCCUGAGAGGGUGACCGGUCACACGUGGGACUGACGACACCGGCCCAGACCUCCGUACGGGACGCAGCGAGGUGGGAAUAGUUGGACUAAGUGGGCGGAAGCCU
rnacentral:rRNA from 1 species